rnacentral:rRNA from 1 species
UCUCUCCGAGAAUCCAUAGAGUACUACCUAAAACAAAUAUUUUUCAUAAGGAGGGACAAGUCGUAACAUGGUAAGCGUACCGGAAGGUGCGCUUGGACAAAC